rnacentral:rRNA from 1 species
CGACCGGCGCACGGGUGCGUAACGCGUAUGCAACCUACCUUUAACAGGGGGAUAACACUGAGAAAUUGGUACUAAUACCCCAUAAUAUCAUAGAAGGCAUCUUUUAUGGUUGAAAAUUCCGAUGGUUAGAGAUGGGCAUGCGUUGUAUUAGCUAGUUGGUGGGGUAACGACUCACCAAGGCGACGAUACAUAGGGGGACUGAGAGGUUAACCCCCCACACUGGUACUGAGACACGGACCAG